UGCUCUCAUUUGGUUAAUGUUUGCCUAAAAUGUCUUCUUCCACUUGCCACUUUCAGGCUGAUUUCACUACUAGAUCUCAAGUGACUCUUGAAGAGAGGCAAGUUGGAUCUUGGUUUGAGUACAGUGGCAUGAUUGCAGCUUACUGCAGCCUUGGGUUCCCUAAGCUUAUGUGAUCCUCCUACCUCAGCCUCCUCUUUACUGGGACCACAGGUGUGUGCCAAUACACCUGACUAAUUUUAAUUUUUAUAGAGGAGAAGUAUUGCCAUGUUUCCCAGUUUAAACUUGAACUCCCUAGGUUCAAGUGAUCUGCCUGCCUCAAACCCGCAAAGUGCUGGGACUACAGACAUGAGCCACUGCACCUGGCCUCAGCUGCGUUCUCAUUUCACCCAAGACCUUUGGCUAGAUCAGAACAAAAAAUUCAUUUCAAAAAGUGAUGCUGAGAAGAUAUGGGAAAUGCAGACAUGAGAAUUUACAAACAAGAAAAGGCUGUAAAAAUUUGAAUGCAUCUAAGGUGCAGGAAGGAGGUUAUAAUGGACUUAACCAAUGUUUGUCGAUUACUCAGAGCAAAAUACUUCAAUGUAAUACAUGUGUGAAAGUCUUAAGGAAAUUUUCAAAUUCAAAUAGACUUAGGAGAAGACAUACUGGAGAGAAACCUUUCAAAUGUGAAGAAUGUGGCCAAUUCUUUCACAGGUUCUCACACCUAAGACAACAUCAGAUAAUUCAUACUGAAGAGAAACCCUACCAAUGUGAAGAAUAUGGCAAAGAUUUUAAGCAGUCUUCAGGUCUUACUAUACAUGGGAGAAUUCAUACUAAAGAGAGACCCUACAAGUGUGAAGAAUGUGACAAAGCCUUUAAACAAUCUUCAAGACUGAAUAAACAUAAGAAAAUUUAUACUGGAGAUACAACCUACAAUUGUGAAGAAAGUGGCAAAGCUUUGAAGUAGUCUUCAAACCUGACUAUACAUAAGAUUAUUCAUAUGGGAGAGAAACCCUACAAAUGUGAUGAAUGUGGCAAAGCCUUUAGAAAAUCCUCAAAACUGAAAGAACAUAAAAGAAUUCAUACUUGAGAGAAACCCUAUAAAUAUGAAGAAUGUGGCAAAGCUUUUUACUAUUCCUCAGGCCUUACUCAACAUAACAUAGUUCAUACUGGAGACAAACCCUACAAAUGUAAAGAUUGUGGCAAAAUUUUUAAGUGGUCUUCGAACCUUACUAUACAUCAGAUAAUUCAUAGUGGAGAGAAACCCUACAAAUGUGAAGAAUGUGGCAAAGCCUUUAAACAAUCUUCAAAACUGAAUGAACAUAUGAGAGCUCAUACUGGAGAGAAAUUCUGCAAAUGUGAAGAAUGUGGCAAAGCUUUUAAGCAAACUUCAGGCCUUACUCUACAUAAGAGAAUUCAUACUGGAGAGAACCCUUACAAAUUCGAAGAAUGUGGUAAAGCCUUUUAUUAGUUUUUAAGCUUUACUAAACAUAUGAUAAUUCAUAGGGGAGAGAAACCCUACAAACGUCAAGAAUGUGGCAAAGCUUUUAAGUGGUCUUCAAACCUUACUAUACACAAGAGAAUUCAUAUGGGAGAGAAACCCUGCAAAUGUGAAGAAUGUGGCAAAGCUUGUAAGCAGUCUUUGGGGCUUACUAUACAAAAGAGAAUUCAUACUGAAGAGAAACCCUACAACUGUGAAGAAUGUGGUAAAGCCUUUUACUGGUCCUUAAGCUUUACUAAACAUGAUAGUUCAUACUGGAGAGAAGCACUACAAAUGUCAAGAAUGCAUCAAAGCUUUUAAGGGUCUUCAAAUCUUACUAUAUAUAAGAAAAUUCAUACUGGAGAGAAACCAUACCAUUGUGAAAAAUGUGGCAAAGCCUUUUACUGUUCCUCAAACCUUAUUCAAAAUAACAUAGUUCAUGCUGAAGAGAAACACUACAAAUGUCAAGAAUGUGGCAAAGCUUUUAAGAAGUCUUUAGACCUUAAUGUACAUAAGAUAAUUCAUAGUGGAGAGAAACCUUACACGUAUGAAGAAUGUGGCAAAGUCUUUAUCCUCAAAACUGAAUGAACAUAAGAUAACUCAUAGUGGAGAGUAAUCCUACAAAUGUGAAGAAUGUGGCAAAGGCUUUUACUAUUCCUCAAGCCUUACUAAGCAUAUGAUAGUUCAUACUGAAGAGAAACUGUACAAAUGUGAAGAAUGUGGCAAAGCUUUUAAGUGGUCCUCUGAGCUUACUAUACAUCAGACAAUUCGUACUGAAGAGAAACCCUAUAAAUGCGAAGAAUGUGUCAGAGUCUUUAAACACUCCUCAAAACUGAAUGAACAUAAGAGAAAUCAUACUGGAGAGAAACCCUACAAAUGUGAAGCAUGUGGCAAAGCUUUUUAAGCAGUCUUCAGGCCUCACUAUACAUAAGAGAAUUCAUACUGGAGAGGAAUCCAGAAAUGUGAAGAAUGUUGCAAAGCCUUUUACUGGUCCUUAAGCUUUACUAAACAUAAGAGAGUUCAUACUGGAGAGAUACCCUACAAAUGUCAAGAAUGUCGCAAAACUUUUUCUUGUUGCACAAGUUUACUUGACAUAAGAGAGUUCAUACUGAAGAGAAAUCCCACAAAUGUAAAGAAUGUGGGAAAGCCUUUAACCAGUCCUUUAGCCUUACUAAACUUAUGAGAAUUCAUACUGGAAAAAAAUCAUACAAAUCGGAAGACCGUGGCAAAAUCUUUUAAGUAUUGCUCAAAUAUAUCCAGCCAUAAUUCAUACUAAAGAUUAUGCCUAUGAACCUAAAAAAGUUUGGCAAAGCUUAUGAAUACACCUCAAACUUUCCUAAGCAUUGGAGAAAUAUCAGUGAGAAACCUCAGAAAACUGAACAAUGUGGCAAGGCCUUUAAAUGGUUGUCACAUCUUACUGUAGAUAAAAUAAUUGAUAGUGGAGAAAAUCUCUACAAACAAAGAAUGUGUCAAAACUUCUAACAUGCUCAUACCUUAUGGCACAUAAAGGCGUUUAUACUUGAAAAAUUAUACAGAGUGUGGAAAAGCCACUUCUAUUUGCUCACAUCAUAGUCAACAUCAGGAAGUUCAUACUUAAUAAAAUUAUUAUAAAUGUAAUUACUUUUGAAAGACCUUGGAAAAUUUAAACCCUUAAAAAAGAGUACUCUGGAGACAAACAUUACAAAUAUAAAGAGGGUUGUAAUACCUUUACUUGCCCUAUAUAAUGUACAGAUUUUAUGCUAGAAGAAAACUCUAAAGGAAUUACUCAAACUUGUUCAGCAUCAGAGAAUUUAUGUUGAAGGAAACCAUACAAAUGUAAUAAAUGUGGAAAAACAUUUGUUCAGAAACUACAGCUUAAAAAACACCAUGCAGUUUAUAAUAAAAGAUAUUUUUUGCAGAUGGAAUACAUGUGUAAAAAUAUUUAGUCAAAAUUAAGUCUUUGUAAACUUUAGAAAAUUCACAGUAGGAAGAAUUAAGGCACUGGCACUUAAGACGUUACACGAAAUCAGAAUGUUCUGUAUAGAAAGUAAUCCAAAGCUAAAACUGUUGGAUAAUUUAUUUGUAUAUAAGUUUAAGAGGAGUGGAAGAUUAUUUUUUGGAGAGUUAUAAUUACAUUCAAGGUAUACGUUUUUCCUUGAAAAAAAUGUAGAUUUUUUGAAAAGCAAAUAGUGAGGUAAUUCAACUGUAAAAUUGCUUCAUUCUGUUCCUUUUUUCCUGUUGUUUGUGUAAAAGCAUGUCAUCAAUUUCUGUUGCAUCAGAAAUCUGAGAGAUUCCUUUCUUAUUAGGUAGGCAUCAUUCAUUAACUUUUCCGUGGAAGAGUAAGGAUAUUAAAAUGUAAGAUGUAUAUUGAAAAUCCAAUUGGAGAGGCUCUUUAUGGCUGACUUUUAACAUUUUUCCUGUGAUACAUGAGUUAUGUGUUUAGAGUAAUAUUCUGCAUUAUAGUGAAAGGAAAACUUUGAGUUUUAGUAGUAAAUUGUUUUACCAAUUGUACUUUUAUGUAAUAAAAUGUAGGGAAUUUUAAAAUUCUUUUAUAAGACUGUGAUAACUUAGCUUUUAAAUUAAACGAAAUAGUUUUAAACUUUUUAAGACCUGCAUUUAGUAAAGUGUUAUGUCACCAACUUUAACGUGUCCCACCUUAUUAAAGAUGUACAUAAAAGAUGGUAACAUAGUAGAAUGAGCUCUCUAGCAAUCUCUUUUGCCUGUGGCAUUAAACUGAAAAGUUUAAGAGUAUUGUUUCAAUGGGUAAAAAUGUAAAUUUGUUUAACGUUUUAAAUUUUUGUAGGAACAUAGUAUUGUUUACCUAUUUAUGGCAUAUAUAGAAUAUUUUCAUACAGGCAUACAACUUGCAAUCACAUCAGAGUAAAUGAGGUAUUCAUUACAUAAUGCAUUUUUUUUUUGUGUUACAGACAAUCCAAUUAAACAUUUUUAGUUAUUUAAAAAUGUACAAGUAAAUUAUUACUUGCUACAGAGGUUUUUUAUGGUCAUAAUAAUAAUAAUUACAUAGUAAUUAUAGUAAAAUAUAAUAAGAAAUCUCACAUUUCUAAGUCCUGAAUGAAUAUUUUUAAAAAUUGGUCAUAUAUAUUUUGAACAAGUGGCCUCUCUGCCUGUAAACUCAUACAGACUGUUAGUUUUUUACUUACAUGGUGCUAAAUAUACACAUAUUUCACUCUUAAUAUAAACAUUAGGUGUAAGAAAUUUGUGGGGUAAGUAAUUGUGUGAGUGUGAGUGCACCUAUUUUCAGAAGACAAGAAAUAUUGGAACAAAAUAUCACUUUAAUAAAGUGGACAAAUCAUUUACUAGAAGACCAGAAACCUCCAUGAUUUUGAAUAAUAUCUGUAUUCUCUGUAUUUUAUUUAAUUAAUUACUGUGAAGUCUUAUGGAUUGCAUUUCCAAAUCUUUCCAUGCAAAUUCUUUCUUUCAUGUGCCUGGUACUCAUGGUAGACUGAUAUUUUUUUCAUAUUUUUUGUGUUUAUAAUUUAUUAAGUAUUCAUUAUGUGAGUUGCUCUGGUAUUCUAAGAAUUUUUAUAAAAUUUACUAAUGCACGCAAAAUAAUUUUUCAAUGUUAUUUCACAAUGAGUGUAUUAACUUAUAUUUCUUUUGUUGCUUUCUUUUUUCUUUUUUUUUUUUUUUUUUGAGAUGGUGUCUCACUCUGUCGCCCAGGCUAGAGUGCAGUGGUGGGAUCUCAGCUCACUACAACCCCCACCUGCUGGCUCAAGCAAUUCUCUUGCCUCAGCCUCCUAAGUAGCUGGGACUACAGGCAUGUGCCACCAUGCCCAGCUAACGUUUUUGUAUUUUUAGUAGAGACUGUGUUUCACUAUAAUGGCCAGAGUGGCCUUGAACUCCUGACCUGGUGGUCCACCCACCUUGGCCUCCCAAGGUGCUGGGAUUACAGGCAUGAGACACUGCAUCCGACCAACUUACAUUUCAUUUAGUUAGAACAUCCCAUUUUGUUAUUUUAAUUGGAGAAACCUGUGUAAGCUAAGUUUCCUUUAUUAUUGUUCCUUUUACUCUUUAUAAUUGACAUAGGUGAAUUUAUUCAUUCAGCCAAUUUGUUUAGGUAAAUGCUGGGGAGGCUUCAUAAGUCAUAAAGAUAUUUUGAUAUGUAAAUGUAGCAAACACAAUUCUUGCUGUGUAAUAGAUGCACCAUUAUUGGCCACAAAUAUUUCUGCUGGAGUUAGUUUGUAGCUCCAAGUAAAGAUAAAGAAAUACACAUGGUGAAGAAAUAAAAUCGAUUCUGUAUAUGGAGAGGACAUUGUUCUUAUGCUGCAAAAUUGACUCUUUCUGAAUUUAAAGAGACAUUCUGCUUAUUUUCUGAUUAUUUUUAGUUUUGUUUGUGUGUCUACUUAUGUUUAUCCCAACUGUGUAUGCAUCACAGCCCUUCUUUUUAUUCUUUGUCUUAUGGCUACAUCUUUAUUGCUGUUUGUUUUGUGCCAUGUCACUUCACACAGUACUUUGUAGGUUCUGAUGAAAGUGUGUCAAUGUAACUUUCAGAUCUGUUAAUUGAGAUAAAAGGCAUGCAGUGUUCACAGGUGAGAGGAAGAAAUCAGUCAGAAUUUCUUGUCUUUGUAAAACCAAACUUUUAUUAAAUUUUAACACAGUCUGUCUGGGUGGCUUACAGCUAUAAUCCCAGCACUUUGGGAGGCUGAGGUAGGAGAAUCACUAGGUCAAGAAGAUGAGACCUUCCUGGACAAUAUGGUGAAACCCCAUCUCUACUAAAAAUACAAAAAUUAGCUGGGCAUGGUGGCAUGCACCUGUUGACCUAGCCAUUCAGGAGGCUGAGGCAGGAGAAUCACUUGAACCCAGGAGGCAGAGGUUGCAGUGAGCUGAGAUUGCACAACUGCAUUCCAGCCUGAUGACAGAGCAAGACUUCAUCUCAAAAAAAAAAAAAAUUAACACAAUGUGUGGAAAAUAUAAAAUUAGUUAGAAGAUAUGUCUUAGAAAUUAAACUUUUAGAAGAGUUAAUGGUAAGUGGAGAAUGUUAAAUUUAAUUUUUUAUUACAUACUUACAGCUCAACUUAAGUUUUCAUUCAGAAUCUUUUAUUUUGGUGUGAAUGUUAAAUAUUCAAAAAUAAUAGAAUGACACCUGUGGAUUUCACAUGUGAAAUAAACUUUUUCAUAUUAAUGUUAAAAUCUUGAGGAAUUUCUCACACUUGUAUAAUGUACUUUUUUAUUGGGUGCAGUUUACAAUUUAGAGGUUCAGUCUUUAGAGGUUUCACUAGUCAACUCCUUGGUCAUUUUAUCUGGAAAAAUUUUAAAGAUCAUGGCAUCUUUUGAGUUAAAAAAUGUCUUCAGUGAUCUGGGAUGCAAACUAAUUUACUCUCUUCAGAGUGGUUUAAUCAUGUGAAACACAGCAAGAGCUGCCCUUUUUGUGUCUUCCCUAUCAUUACCACCAGCACCAGAAACUCCAGUUGUCUCAAGCUCAAAAUAAAAGCCCUAAGGUACAUUGACUUCUCUCAUGCUCUGUGCUGGGUCCCGAACAUGGUGGUAAAUAUUAGAGUUCAUAUGGUCAUGACCGACUAGGUGAAAAAACAGCACAGAAACUGUAUCUUUCAUACUAUUCAGACAGGUUUAUGACAAAAACACAGGUCAGAAUUUGAAAUAUUGUCAUUUUUAAUAGUUUUUAUAAAUAUAUUUUUAAAUUCACUGAUGAACUAUGUAUUUAUUUUGUGAAAUAGUAUUUUGAAGUAAAUAUACAUUGUCAAUGCCUAAUUUUAGGUAAUUGUCAAAUACUUUGCCUCACAUAGUUAUUAUUUUUGUGGUGAGAAGACAUUUACUGUCUUAGCAUUUUUUCAGAAAUACAAUACAUGCAUUAUAAUCUCUUGAACUUAUUUUUCUUAUCCAACUGUAAUUAGGUAAUCAAGAUACGUUUUGUAGAAUCCACAUGUGAGUGAAAUCAUGAGAUAUUAACCUUUCUAUGCCUUAUUUCAACAACUAUAGUGUCCUUUAGGUUUAUCUUUGGGAUUAAAAAUAAGAUUUUCUGUUGAAAAUACACUAUUCGAUUGUAUAUAUAUACCAUAGUGUCUGUAUUUCGUCAUUGGGCGAUGGACACAUAGGUUGAUUCUAUGUUUUGGCUUCUGUAAAGUGUGCUGCAACAAACAGAAUUGCAGAUGUCUGUUCAUCAAUCUAGUUUCAUUUGUGUUGUGAUAGAUAUCCAGUAGUUCAAUUACAUGUUAGUUUAAUUGUUUUGCAAAAUUUCUAUUUUUCAUAAUGGCUGUUUAUAUUUACAUUGACACAAACAGUGUGAAAACUACCCUCUUUCUCUUUUUUCAAGUUUACCAACAACUUUUUUAAACAUUUUAACAGGAGUGAGUUUAUAUCUUAGAGUUGUUUUGGUUUGCCUUUCCUUGAUGAUAAUUGACUUUGAGCCAUAUUCAUCUAUCUGCCAAGCUAUAUGUAUGUCUUUCUUUGAAAAUUAUUUAUAUAUAUCUUUUGCUUAUUUUUCAUGGUUAUUUGUUUUUUGUUGUAUAGUCCUUUGAGUUUCUUAUAUAUUUUUGAUAUUAACUGCUUUCCACAUGUGUAAUUUGCAAAUAUUUUCUUCCAUUUUUCAGUUAUGUCAUUCUGCUGAUUGUAUCGGUUGGUGUGCAGCAGCUUCUUAAUUUUAAGGAGUCUGAUUUGUCUAUUUCCCCCUAAAAUUUUGAGGUUAAACCCAAGAGUCACUGCCCAGACCAACGUUAUGGGGCAUUCAUUCUAUAUUUUCUCAUCUUAGUUUUAGAUUUUCAGGUCUCAUAUUUAAGUAUCUAAUUUGAGUUAAUUUUUAUAUAUGGCAUGAGAUGAAGGUCUGCUUUUAUUAUUUUGCGUGUGGAUAUAUAUUUUCUCAACAUCAUUUAUAAAAGAGACUCUUCUUUUUUAAAAAAUAUUGUCAUCUUUAUUUACAAUCAGUUGUCUGUAAAUACAUGAAUUUAUUUCUGGUCUUUCUCUUUUGCUCUGUUGGCCUUUGUGUCCAUUUUUAUGUAAGUAAUACUCUGUUUUGAUUACUGUAGCUUUGUUGGACAUUUAAAAGUCAGGUAGAGUGAUUCCUUCAGCCUUUUAUUUUUCAUUUUUUGCUUGAUUUUCAUAGCUAUUAAGGCCUUUCGUGGGGCAAUAUACAUUUUAGAUUUUUUAAAAACAUUUCUGUAGAGAAUUUAACUAGUAUUUUAAUAGAAGUUUUAUUAUAUCUGUAUAUCAGUUUGUGUAAUGCUGAUAUUUAACAAUAUUAAUCAUGCCCAUUUAUGAAUUAGAAAUAUCUUUUUGUUUGAAUAUUAUUUAUUUUCUAACUUUUUUUAGAUUCUAAUGUACAGAUCUUUCACCUUUUUGGUUACAUUCAUUUCUAAGUAUAGUUACU